rnacentral:rRNA from 1 species
GACGAACGCUGGCGGCGUGCUUAACACAUGCAAGUCGAACGGUGAAGCCUUCGGGUGGAUCAGUGGCGAACGGGUGAGUAACACGUGAGCAAUCUGCCCUUGACUCUGGGAUAACUUCGGGAAACCGGAGCUAAUACCGGAUAUGACAUCUGGCCGCAUGGUCUGGGUGUGGAAAGAUUUAUCGGUCAAGGAUGAGCUCGCGGCCUAUCAGCUUGUUGGUGGGGAAUGGCCCACCAAGGCGACGACGGGUAGCCGGCCUGAGAGGGCGACCGGCCACACUGGGACUGAGACACGGCCCAGACUCCUACGGGAGGCAGCAGUGGGGAAUAUUGCACAAUGGGCGCAAGCCUGAUGCAGCAACGCCGCGUGAGGGACGACGGCCU